rnacentral:lncRNA from 1 species
CUUAAUACGUUGGCAACACAGCUAACAGACUAAAACAGCAGGUGUUAAUUUUCUCAUUAAGUGAACGACUUUACUGAGAAGCACAUGUUAAUUUUCAAUCCUCGACUCCACGAGGUUCAUUGUUCAGAAUUCCCUCCUGUUUCCUGUCGCGUGCAAGAAAGCCGUGAUAAUUGUCCAUUACAAGGCCAUCUCGAUAUGCAACGAUUAUAAAUGUAGCUCAUCGAUCGACGUAUUGUUAAAUGUAUUGCAUUUGACCUCAAAUUUUCUUCCCUAUAAAGUAAAGAAGGGCUUCUUUCCUACGAGUAAAGAAGGGCCCGCCAAACAAUGUGAGGAAAAUGAUGUCGCAAGCCAUACAUGUCCGUUGCCCAGCUCACAGUGACCAUACAAGUCGAAAUGGUGACAUAGUUUCGAAAGGCUUCUUCCUACUGUACACGGAACGACAAGUAGUAAGUAGUAACACAUUCAUGUGGCUGUUAACUGUUAAGAAAUGAGGAAGAACUACACCUACACCAACAAACCUGCUGUGCUAAAUACAACAAUAGGUUCCAUCGAUUAUAUCGAUAUGGAUUCAGGAUUCAUCGAGAAGAUUCGGACCAAUCCGGUCGCUCGUCUUCUUAGCUCACCUGUUGCAGAGGAAGAUAUUACAACGCCCGCGAACCAAUAGCUGACAAGCAUUUAACUCUUCUGAUCUCGGAUGUAACCUUCGGAAGCAUAGGAAAAAUUCAAUUCCGUCUCCACAAUACAUCCCUGAUGAUAAUUGCGAGUAUCCAAAGAAGCUAAAUGUUGGCGUAGCUAAUCCCGCCAUUAGAAGCCAAUUGGAAGAAUUGAAGGUCUUUUUCAAAAGAAAAUUACGAGGAAUAAAUGGAAAUUCGAAUCAACAAGUCGUUAUCUUCCAUUGAACAAGGAUCCAUGGUGACUGGUGCUGAAUGAAUUGAUUGAUUGUAUCAGAAUCAAGAUUCUCGCCUCUGGUAGCCCGUCAGUAAGAAAAGAAUGAAGAAGAGCAGUCCAUCAUUUAAUCAAUCUCAGAAUGAACACGAGGAAACACAUCGUCACUUCUACGACAAGGUUUUUUGGGUUCCAAGUCAGAUUAAAAGAGGCCCGUUAGAAGCGGAAGAAGGACAACAUUACGCGUCCAAUGAAUAUGGGCCAACAUCCCUCCAUAAUUCGCCCUAGUUGAAGGGUCACACUUUUGGGUUUUUGUAGCUUUUGGUCGCGUUGGGGUUUCUAUCCAGGGUUUUGUCUAUCGCGUUAUGUUUCAUCACUCAGUAACGACGGUCGGAUCGAGGUAAAACCUAUCAGACUUUAAUCGGAAUAUAAUUAUUUAAGUGUUCCCCUUAUUACCGCGUCAUGGAUCAAAUGGUUUGUUGGCUCCUAUUUUGACUAUAGCAAUCAUUUGUAGCGUUAUUAACAAGCUUAUUUCAUACACAAAGGUGGUUAGUUGGUGCUGUUUAUCCGAUCUGAAUAUCCCCCUCCCCCGGAAGAAAUAGGGGGAAAAAACCUCGGGGGAAGGAGGUAGGCGACCGCAAUUUGGUUAUUUUGUUACUUCUAAUGGGCUCGUAUUAUUCAGAAAAUUGCACAGCUAGAUGUUGACUGCAAGGAGAACAUAUCACCCGCAUCUAUUUCUGAUACUCCUUUUAAACGGUAAAUAGAUCUGAUUGGUCUCCGCAAUUGCGCACGUAAACAAAUUGAACUAUUAAACUCUUUAGAAAUUUGUAGACAUCCAAGCGAACUAACUGUAAUUGCGAAGCUCACAUUUUCUGGCCUUUGAGGGUAAAGUUAGUGAAUAGGGGGUCAUCAUCAACAGACAAAUUGAGACCGUUUAGAUCCACUCAAAAAUAAACUUGUCAAACGAUAUGUGGAGGUUAAAGUUGGGUAUAAAAAUGGCGAGCAUUUCCAGGUUGGACGGUAGAAGUGUCUUGGGUGUUGUUGAAGAUGGAACGGCUCUUGCACCUGGGCGCUCUGUUCAGUCUGCAUUCCGUUUGCUUCAACACACCCAAGAUAUUCCAAUUCUAUCCUUUCCUUUGGUCCUUUUUUGUUGCAUGCGAUGUCAUCGCAGGUGGUUUCUUCCUCGCAGAAAUGGUGGUGAAAAUCACCGUUCCUAAUUUCCAAGAGGGGGAAGGCUUUUUUUAAAGAUCUUUUCGGCUGGUUCUUUUUUAUUUUAUUUUUCUACUUCCGGCGUUGGCGGGUUCAUGGAGAAAGGGUCCUAAUCAUAGAACGAGUAGCUUGGAAUUUUUCGUACUCCUCGAUCUUUGAUUUUAUUCCGUCCGCUAUUUAUUUAUAAUUAUUUUUCCAUGUACAGUUCUUUUGCCCCAUCCUUUGUUAGUUUUGAAAUGGAAUUUUUUCCCACAAGACACUGAAGACCAUUUCAACUGUUUUGAUCUUGAAAUCUACCUCCAACUUUCAAACUUGUAAUCGACGAACAAACUUCUGAUUUCGAUCGAAUAUCUCUGUCACUGUUUAAUGUGAUCGUGGCUACCCAGUCAAAUGCCGCCCUUUGCAUACAAGCCACUUUAUUCAUUUGCAUGAAAAGGUUGGCCUAUCCCCAUGUCCUUGAUUUGAUAGAUUUGAUAGACACAAGUGUUUUAAUUGUCUGUUCAUGCCGAAAUGACUAUGUAAGUCUGCCACCUAAUUAGAGUUUAAGUGUUGACUGACGGUGACGGAGCGACGUACCGUACGCUAAACUCAGUAGUCUUGGUACACGCAUUUCCAGUAAAAGUGAUUCAUGUUUCGUCGUUGUCUACCACCAUUUCCUUGCUGACCAUCUUGUUAUGCAUUUGUUUUUCUCCUUUUGGGAGAUUUAAACAAGUUUGAAAUUCUGGGUUUAUGCUCCGAGUUUCUAUUCAUAACUAAUCUUGGAUCGAGGUGAUAGACUUUGUACGUAUCCGUGUCCCAUCGUCUGUUGCUUUGCAUUUUUCUCGCUCUGAUUCAUGAUAGAUUUGUGCGUAAACUUGGGGUUGGAGCGGUUGAUAUUAUUUCCGUGUCAACGAACCGAGGGCGAUACCGGUAAUCUGAAGCAAAGGGAUUUUUCAAAGAAGUGAUAGAUAAAAUUUGGGAAAAUAAGCGAUUGAAUUUUUUGAAUUUGUAAUUUAAUAAGGAGACGACUGUGAAAAGGGACUUGGGUGAAAAUUAUCUUUGCUUCUGUACUCGUAUUGAUUCCGCAAGAUCCGACACACCCCGCUCUACACGGAUUCCAUCACCGACAAAGAACGCAAACUACUUGACAAUCGAUUGCGUUGGAUCUUUUGUACCGACUCUUGUUUAAUUUUUUAUUGUUGAGUUGGAGGAACUUUUCGAAAAAUCAAGGGGGUGCGGACUGCGCUGUCGAAAGGGUUCCCCAUCUUCUCACCUUCGACGUUAUUUCAAAUUUGAGCGAAGUCGUCCGCGAUCUUUGCUAAAGGCCUCAAGAAAAUCUUACGCAUCUCCACCUUCGUGUUGAGCGAAUUGCAACGAUCAUAAAAAUCGAGAUAAAUAAGUUCUAGUUUUCCUACCACCGAAUUGGAAAAAGCGAUCCUGUAAGGAUGGAGUCUGCCCUGUCCAAGCCACAUUAUUUUGAUUUUCAUUUGUAAUCCCAAGGCUGGAUAAAACAUCAAAGAAGCCGUUCAUCAUCACUGCUCCAGAUUCGCAAUGUUUGUCUUGAUUGAAGCACUCGCUUUUCUAAUUGCCAAUCGAUUUCUUGUCGUCGCCUGUAGUUUGACGGAACACUACUUUAUCAAAUUAUAUGAUGUCUCGUGUGUUUUUGUCAUCUCUUCGUUUGGUUAAUUGAAAUAUUUUUCGCAGAAUGAUUUAGAGUCGAAAGCAUGAUCUAGGAUGGUGGAUAAGCGUUCUAUGAUGCACAUAAUUUCGAAUGACUGGAUUGUAAUUUACCCAUUCGUUCGAAAUUGUGACCAUCAUAUUGCGGUUUUUCACUAUCAUCUACGAGCUCACCAUCUUGAAAAUGCUUAUCGGUUAGUCUACAAGAUCCUCAUCAUUAUGGGAAUGUUUCUGCUUAGUUUCGUUUACAUAUUAGCCGUUGUCUCUGCUUUUAAUCACGGAUGAUGAGCGGCACAAGCGUGAUCAUGUGUUGCCGGCAAACCGCCAACUUGAGUUUAAUGAGAACUGGAAACAAACUGAUGUGCAACUAUAAAGCUGCCAUUCGACCGAUUUCCUAUGACGUAAUAUUCUGAAUCUUUUUCUCGUAUUUAUUGUGGGAAAUUUCGAUGUUUCGUGUGGACGAAAUGUACGUCCGAUAUGCUAUAUUGAUGUAACGAGUGUCAAAACACUUGGACGCUCUGCCCGUUCGUCGUCCAAACUCUACGCUGUAAUUUCUGUUCUAACAUGCCAUCUUUUUGAAGCGGCUACACAACGGACAUAAUGCUAUCUUCAACGACAUUAUCCAAAUGCGGUCGUAACGUUCGGCGGACAACUGCCAGUGUUUUGAAACUGGAAGAGAUUGCGGCCCGCGAAAAAUUCGAAGUAGAAAGAUGUGUGAUGGUCUUUAUUAUUCAUUUCCCUUUUGGUCGAUAAUUGGUUGCAAACAUUCUGCACACAUUCAAGAAGUCUAAACAUCAUCGUCAAGGUGAAGAGCAACGACGUGUGGUUUUUUAUUGUGGACCGCCAUGGACCAUGUGGAUCAGAUGACCAUUUCGGACCAUCGACAGAGAAGGGGUUUUGUCUGAUCAGAAUGAUCCAUCCCAUCUGUUUGCAGCUGAGAUAGAAGCGGAAGCGCUUUUGUCUACGCACCUUAUUUCAGCAGCAGACAGUCCAGCAAUGAUCGACAGUUAGCCAGUCAAUCCGAGCAAAAGUGAUGAAGGUUUAACUGCUUCCAUUUUUCCAAGCCACUUCCUAUGACAGACAUUCGUUUUCUUACAAGUAUAAUAACCAUAAAGUAGUUGGCCCGUUUGUGUAUAAUGCUUCGGCCGUAGAUUUUUAUUUAAAAUUUUUUUGUUUUUUUUUCUCUACCACACAUUUCACCUUAUAAGAUUUCAACUAAUGGAAAACAACGCGUUAACUUGUAUUAAGAGAUCCACCAAUCGUUGUUACUAUUUUUAUCAUUUCCAGAGUGCACUGGGUGGCAAGAGCUGGGCAGUGUGAGACUCCCUGUAACAUUGAGCUGCUAUAGAUAAGUUUGAUGUCCUGUAAUUGCAGUACGUCGACAUUAAUUUGCAGCAACUCAAGAUUGCAUUGAACCCCUUGCUGACAUCCCUUAUUGUUACCUAAUAUUCUCUGGUUUUGAUUUAACACAACUGCAGCGAUUUCCAAAUCCAACUGAAGAAUCUCUUGUUGAAUUCAAGUUAAUUUAGGUGUUCUCCGUCAGCUCAAGAAGCGUCUAAUGUGAUUUAACACGUAUGCUUAUUUUGUCUACCAGUCUAAAUCUAAAUGUCUAUGAUAACCACAAUAUAUACUGAAUGUAGUC